rnacentral:rRNA from 1 species
GAUGAACGCUGGCGGCGUGCCUAAUACAUGCAAGUCGAGCGAACAGACGAGGAGCUUGCUCCUCUGACGUUAGCGGCGGACGGGUGAGUAACACGUGGAUAACCUACCUAUAAGACUGGGAUAACUUCGGGAAACCGGAGCUAAUACCGGAUAAUAUAUUGAACCGCAUGGUUCAAUAGUGAAAGACGGUUUUGCUGUCACUUAUAGAUGGAUCCGCGCCGCAUUAGCUAGUUGGUACGGUAACGGCUUACCAAGGCAACGAUGCGUAGCCGACCUGAGAGGGUGAUCGGCCACACUGGAACUGAGACACGGUCCAGACUCCUACGGGAGGCAGCAGUAGGGAAUCUUCCGCAAUGGGCGAAAGCCUGACGGAGCAACGCCGCGUGAGGGAUGAAGGUCUUCGGAUCGUAAAACGCUGUUAUUAGGGAAGAACAAAUGUGUAAGUAACUAUGCACGGCUUGACGGUACCUAAUCAGAAAGCCACGGCUAACUACGUG